AGUAAAUGAAGUUGGUGAGGGGCCAGAAGCAGAAUCUAGUAUUACCACAUCAUCUCUAGCAGGUAUGGCCCAGGGUCGCGCUUUUGUUACAUAGAAGUGAAAGGUGACAAAGGUAGGUUCAGAAUUCAGUGGUAUUGAGUCAUCUGGUAGACUUCAAGAUCCCUCCUCUUCUGCCCAAAUGUAUGUCAAUUUUGGGUACUUUAAACUUUUGAUUUUAAGUGGUUAAGUACUUGACAAAUAGAAUUAAGUGGUUAAAUUGGAAGUUUUCAUGUUAGAAGUUAAGAACUUAAAAAACAGAAUUUUAAAUUUUAAGAAUAAAAAAAGUCUCAAAUGCUUAGUUUCAAUUGAAAUCACAAGGAUUGUGAGUUAUUUUUACACACCUAAGGGAUGCACAUAGCCUUCUUUCCUUACUCGCUACAUUAUGUGCUGUUAUUGGAGUCCUAUCAGACAUCUUAUUUCUGCAGUCUCCAUAAGUUUUUAAGUAUAUCUGGAGUUCAAUAAUUUAUAUUUUGCCAUUUAGAAUAUUUAAUCUACCAAAUCAUCUUUUUUAUUGUUUUGUAGCAACAAAAUAAAAGGAUAGCUUUUUGGCUUUAAUAUUUUAACCAUGGCCCUGAGUGGUUAAAUUUUUACUGUAUUAUGCCUAUAUGAGCAAAAUAAUAAAUGAAAAUGCUUUCUAAGAAGCAUUAGACAUUUGGGGCCAGUAUUAGUAAAAGGGUUUGGAACAACAGUCUAGGACUUCUAAUUCUAGGAGUCUGCUGUUUUCACCAGAACUCCAUUUGUUGACUUGACCGCCCCUUACCCUCAUCUGCACAUGCCUAUGCCAGAGGGUAUUGAAUGUCAUCUAUCACCAGCAUUUAGUUUUUUUUUUGGCUGUUCCUAGACUCUAGGAAAGGAGAGGUAUUUUUGUUAUGCAAGAAGUAUAUCUAAAGGGCAUGUUAAAUAUAGAUCUGUGUUAAGGUUGUUAUGUGAUUAUUGCAAUACAUCAUUAAUUGGCCUAAAAGUGUUCAUCAGCCAUGGACCUUGCGUUGGUCUCUUCUGCCUCAAAGGGAGGGAUAUUGAAGACAACAUAGAUACAACCAAUGUCUGUCUAUGUGUGUGUGUGUGUGUGUAUUAUGCACCAACCUGUUUUGGCUGUGAAUGGAUUACUUCUGCCAACCAAUGCUCCUGUCUGAGGACAGUGAGUGGAGCUCCUAUUGGGGCAAGGAUGUUGGGAAUGGUAAUACCUCAUGUGAUAUAAUUUUGGGGGUACUUAAGGGCACACACACACAAGACCCGCUUGGCUGCCACAGUGCUUCUUACCUCUAACCAUGGAAAAAUGUGGAUUAUACCAUAGAUGAAAUGCCCCAGUGCCUUCAGAGAAUAUUUGGGCUCUUUUAAGCAUGAUUUCCCUUUGCUUUGAAUGGUAGUGUUGAUAUAUAUAUAUAUAUAUAUAUAUAUAUAUAUAUAUAUAUAUAUAUUUAUUUUGGUGUGUGUUAGUGUGCAUUUGUUUGGUCUGUUUACCUAAAAAUCAUAUUUCUUUUCAGUUCAAGAAGAAGAACAGUGGCUCUUUUUAUCCAGAAAAACUUCUCUAAGAAAGAGAUCUUUAAAGCACUUAGUAGAUGAAGCACAUUGCCUUUGGUCAGAUGCUAUACACCAUAAUAUUACAGGUCAGUAUCAUAGAAAGAAAUGUUUCCUUAAGGUGAAAAGAAAGACUUGAAAUUUCUAGAGGAAAUGCUUCUAGAAUGGAGGAAUAUUAAAAAUUUAUUUUUGGGUCUGGAGGAGCACUCAGUGAUAGAACAUGUGCUUAGCAUGAAGGAGCCCGGGCUUCUUUCUCCAGUACCCAAAACAAAAACAACACCACAAACAAACAUAAUAAAAAACAAAAUACAAAAAAUAAAAUAAAACAAAAACCCCCCAUUUUUUAUAUUUUUAGUAUAUACUCUUCUAAAUUCUUAUAAUCUAUUCUAUACACAUUAGAAUAAUUUACAAUAAUAUUUUCUUCUAAAAUAGAAUCUGAUUACUUUAUUAAACAUUAAAGAAAUAAAUAUCAUGUAAACUCUUUUUUUGUCCUGGUUGUUAUGUAAUAAUGUGCAUGUAUUUGUGUGGCUCUUUUAGGAAUAUCAGUUAAUGUCCACCAGCAAGUUGUUUAUUUCUCUGAAGGAGCUCU
rnacentral:lncRNA from 1 species